UAACCUUUUUACUGAAUUUGAUCAAACGUCUCAAAAAUGUAUGUACUGUUGUACUUUUUUGCGAAUGCACCGCAGGAGAGAAUGCUAACGGCGGCUAAUGUCUGCUUUUCAUGGCCAGCAAAGCAGAGGAGGUGCACUUCUUACAAUCCAUCCGAACCAUCUUCUUUAUUUUUAAUACCGCAGCAAAAUCGGGAAUGUAAACGUCAUGUCAUUGCAACCAAACAGUAGUUUCCUGACUUGCUUGUUAGCAACGAAUCAUACAAUCUAACAUGGCAGAUGGCGUUCAUCUUAGAAUUGAAGCAGCAUUUUGGGCUUCCAAAUCGAAUGCAAACGAAUUGCUAACAUAGCCCUCGAAAUGCUACAGAAUCUCGGCAUGCAUUUAGCAAUAGCAAUUGCACUUGGCUAACGCUACUUUUAGGUAAGACGUUCCCAUCGACACGAACAUUUCAACGCCACACUACCUAGCCAAUUAACUUUACCUCUCUCCAGACGUACAGGUUCCCCAAGCGACGCCAUUUUCCUGCUGAGACGCAGUUUUGUGUCACGCGGAUAUUACGUCGAAUGGCAGCUAAGGGAAACUCAAA